rnacentral:pre_miRNA from 1 species
CCCUUAACUAUUAAAAGUUUCGUUUUGGUCCCUUAACUUAUUUUUUGGUUUCAUUUUGGUCCCUUAACUCUUCUUCCGUCAACCACUUUGAUCCUUUAUGUUAGAAUGAAUCUAUUAGAGUUAAGGACCAAAACGAAAUCAAAAAAUAAGUUAAGUGACCAAAACGAAACCAAAAAAUAAAUUAAGGGACCAAAACGAAACUUUUAAUAGUUAAGGGACCAAAACAAAACCAAAAAAUAAGUUAAGGGACCAAAACGAAACUUUUAAUAGUUAAGGGA